rnacentral:rRNA from 1 species
UACGUAGGGUGCGAGCGUUAAUCGGAAUUACUGGGCGUAAAGCGUGCGCAGGCGGUUUUGUAAGACAGAGGUGAAAUCCCCGGGCUCAGCCUGGGAACUACCUUUGUGACUGCAAGGCUUGAGUGCGGCAGAGGGGGAUGGAAUUCCGCGUGUAGCAGUGAAAUGCGUAGAUAUGCGGAGGAACACCGAUGGCGAAGGCAAUCCCCUGGGCCUGCACUGACGCUCAUGCACGAAAGCGUGGGGAGCAAACAGG